rnacentral:rRNA from 1 species
CCUUACUGGGUACCUAUCGGAACAAGCCCGAUCCCAUAUGAUCUCAGAAGCUAAGCAGGGUUGGACCUGGUUAGUACUUGGAUGGGAGACCACCUAGAAAGAUCAGGUGCUGUAGGUG